UCGGAGAUGCAUAUAAUUACCAGCAACUGGCGCUGGGUAGGCAAAGCCGGGAGAAACUGCUGAGACGAGAACGGGCUCCGCUCGAGUUGUAUUUGAAACCCAGCUGGCUUGUCCUACACUGUGCUGUUUAGUCCACGAUCACGGGGCCUCGGGACCGGGGUCUCCAGCUCCUGCUACGCAGACGCAAGAGGAUCAUUUUUUAAGAAGUAGCUUGCCCCUCCCCCCCAAUCCCGAGUCCAAAGGUGACUUCAAGUCCCUCGUGGAAGGACACCUUCCAGUGGUCAAGAAUCUGGGGUCCCCACACCGACAGGGUGUCUCCAGAUGGACAAAGCAUGUGGCAGGGGCGUGAGCUGAAGUUGUCAGUCGAUCGCAAGCCCCCUGUAUCCACUGGACCUCAGAGCCCCGGCGGUUAACCUCUGAGUGCUCCUGACCAGAACCUCCAAGGCCUUACACCUCCUGUGGGUGUGGGGUGGAGGUGGGAGGGAUGGAGGGGAAGGGUCUGCCUAGAAGGAGCAAGGGAAGCACCAUCCCAGCCCCAAACGUGCACUCAGACAAGCCGAGAUGGGAAGAAAGGUGCAGAGCAGAGUGGAAGCCGUGGGCAAGGCCCACCGAGAGGUCUCGUUGCCGGUCUCUACAAGAAAUUCAAGGUUGUCAGUGGCUGGCUUCCUGCGAACAGGAGCCCACACGUCAUGGUCUGCUUCCGUGGAGAGCGUGGCACGAGAGCAUCUCGUGAAGACCUGUGAGACCGGGUGGCUCAGCCCUGCCCGCUGGGGCUGCCUCCAGCACUCGAUUCACUUUAAAGAAAACAGAAGCUGAUUCCUCUCUGCAUCCCCACCAGAAAAGUUCCUCCUGCGCUUAUUUGACCUCAGGCCCAUGCUGGCCCAACAAGAAAACUGCCUCUGUUGGUGCGUGUUUUAAGACCACGGUUGCAUUCCCACUGAGAAGUAUCCAGCUCUGAGGCAUUGUUGUUGAAGACGUGGCAAACACGAGGGGCGGGGAGUUCAAGGCCACAGCAUGGCCUGCGUGUCAGUGGGCCUUGGAGCUGAUGAGAGCUGGAGCUACAGAGGUCAGGAACCAAAAUCUGAAUCCCCAGUGGUCCCCAAAUGCACUGAGGUCCACGGCCAAACACUGGCUCAGAAUCCUGACCAAUAAAUACCACUGAUUGUAUGACUGGUGGGACCAGAGGGGACCCAGGGCAAACCAGCCCUUCAGCUGGAAGAAGAGCUCAGAGAGACUGGCCCUCUUGUCUUUGUACAUAACACCGUCAGCCACACUCUGAAUAUCAGGCUAAGAGUGUUUUUGUUUUUAUGUUGGACACAAUUGUCUAAUGUGCUAUAGGAGCCUGCUGCCAUGGCAGUUUGGCUGUGCUUCCCAAAGAAGCUCUGAAACUAUGAUGCCAGAGUGCCACAAAGACUCCUGAGAAACAGCUUCCUUGCCCAGAGUGGUCUGGUUGAAUAUGCCAAGGUGCACUGGGCAUCUUGAAUAAGAGACGAAAGUCCGCAAUCUGCCAAUACUGGACAGACUGUGGUUUUCAGAGCAUAGCCUGGGGUCAGUAUUACAAGGAACACACUUUGGGAACCCAGUCAAUGAAAGGCCCUCAUAACUAAAAGGUCUCUCUGUUUCUGUAUUAGUUAUCUACUGCUGCAUAACAAAUCACCUCGAACUUAGUGGCUUAAAACGAUAGGCAUUUAUUAUCUCAAAGUGUCUGUGGGUCAGGAAUUCAGAACUGGCGUAACUGGCUUGUGGUCUUCACCGAAGUUGCACUCCAGGUGUCAGCUGGGGCUGCCGUCACCUGACAGCUUGACUGGGGCUGGAGGAUCAGCUUCCAAGGUGGCACACUCACCGGCUGGCAGGGCGGUGCUGGCUGUUGGCAGGAGGCCUUGGUUCCUUGCCACACAGACUCCUCCACAGAGCUGCUGGAGUUUCCUCACAAUGUGGCGGCUGGCUUCCCCCAGAUGAAUGCAAGAGAGCAAGACUGAAGCCUCUCAUGACCUGGCCUUGGAAUGCACAUGUGAUCCUUUCCACACUGUCCUAUUGGUCCCACAGGACAGCCCUAUUCAUUGUGGGAAGGGCUGAAGGAGGUCGAAAUCGUUUGGAGACCAUCUUGCAGGCCAACUGCCAUGGUAAACAUCUCUCCAGCACAAGGACAGAUAACUUGCCUCAUUCUUACAGCUGGUUUCUUACCAUUUAGUGCCAAUUAGUAACUUUGAGAAGGGACCCUGCUAACCUGUGAUAUGAAGGAGGAGGAGACCAGGAAUUUAUCAGCCACGCCAACACCCCAUGAACAGCAGCAAUAAUAAUCAUCCAGGCCCGUUCGUUGAGCCCUCACCCUAUGCCAAGUGCCUCAACAGCAUUGUGGAGACAUGCAUUCCUUGUCCCCAAGCAGCAAGUUCCACAAUAUUUCCAAGUUAGGCCACUCAUUUUUAUGAAAUGUAUAAAAUGAGAUUUUUUUUUUGGCAAUGAUGGCUACAGGGACACAAGCAGCUUUGCCCCCUGAAAAUACAGAGACAAAAUCCAAGACCCGUGUGAACCCACGUGGAGAAGACUGGAGUGGGGUGUAAACUCAGGAUGGAUAAAUGCCAAAGAGAAACACAUCAUAGGGACUUCCCCGGUGGUCCAGUGGUUAAGACUCCACACCCCCCACUGUAGGGGGCGUGGGUUCGAUCCCUGAUCGCGGAACCAAGAUCCCACAUGCCACAUGGUGC